rnacentral:rRNA from 1 species
UUGAACGCUGGCGGCAGGCCUAACACAUGCAAGUCGAAUGGUAACAGGAAACAGCUUGCUGUUUCGCUGACGAGUGGCGGACGGGUGAGUAAUGUCUGGGAAACUGCCUGAUGGAGGGGGAUAACUACUGGAAACGGUAGCUAAUACCGCAUAACGUCGCAAGACCAAAGAGGGGGACCUUCGGGCCUCUUGCCAUCAGAUGUGCCCAGAUGGGAUUAGCUAGUAGGUGGGGUAACGGCUCACCUAGGCGACGAUCCCUAGCUGGUCUGAGAGGAUGACCGGCCACACUGGAACUGAGACACGGUCCAGACUCCUACGGGAGGCAGCAGUGGGGAAUAUUGCACAAUGGGCGCAAGCCUGAUGCAGCCAUGCCGCGUGUAUGAAGAAGGCCUUCGGGUUGUAAAGUACUUUCAGCGGGGAGGAAGGGAGUAAAGUUAAUACCUUUGCUCAUUGACGUUACCCGCAGAAGAAGCACCGGCUAACUCCGUG